rnacentral:rRNA from 1 species
CAGCAGCCACGGGAAUACGUAGGGUGCAAGCGUUAUCCGGAAUUAUUGGGCGUAAAGAGCUCGUAGGCGGUCUGUCGCGUCUGCUGUGAAAACUGGGGGCUCAACCCCCAGCCUGCAGUGGGUACGGGCAGACUAGAGUGCGGUAGGGGAGAUUGGAAUUCCUGGUGUAGCGGUGGAAUGCGCAGAUAUCAGGAGGAACACCGAUGGCGAAGGCAGAUCUCUGGGCCGUAACUGACGCUGAGGAGCGAAAGCAUGGGGAGCGAACAGGAUUAGAUACCCCAGUAGUCCCUGUCUCUUAUAA